AAAAAAAUGUCCCUACAACCAAACCAGCCCCUAGUCAGUGGUGUGCCACUACACGGUCAGGGAUGCUCCGCAUCCGGCUUCCAUGGGUGGAGUACCGGGAUCGGCUGUUCUACAGGCUGAUGGCAAUCAACAACCACCCAGGUAUCCAGAUAUUAUAGAAAUGGGGAAGAGGGAUAGAACUAGAUUUAAAGGAGUAUGCGGUAGCUGGAGCUACCAAAGAAACUCAGCCUGGUUCAGUACCCGCAGGUGAUCCUGGUUAUGAGAUUGACAUUGGUGAGAAUGUUAAGAACUCUCUACCGGUUACUUCUUUUAUGAAAAGCUGUGACAAAUCUUCUUGUAGAAGACCAGGCUAUAAAUGUGCAGCUAGUGGUCAGGCAAUAAAUGCUGGGGAGUUGUAUACAAUUUGCACUGAGGGGUUUGAUUGGAUUAGUUCUGGUGACACCAACACCUUCAACUUCUUCCAGGUAUGUUUGAAUUGUUCUACAAACCAAUGAACUGAUUAGUUGGAGAAUCUUGCUAUUGGACAAUUCAAAUCUUAAUAUAUUUUAAAUUGGGUGGUUGUUUUGAAUUCACUUGUGUUUCUGACAAUACUUUGGUGGCUGAUGGAGGUCACAUGGAAUCUCAACAAGUGUUAAAAAGGCCCCGGCAUUUUCAUUGUCAAAGGGAGAAGACAAGCUCUUUCAGGCCACAGGUGUCAUCUUUGCAUCCAAGUGUUGUUACUGAAGGUCAUGGAAGGCUAAGAUGUCCAAGAAUGUGUCAUCUAUCGCACCAACAAAGGACACAUUUGCUUUAUCCCUUUGCAAGCAAAUCAGUCAGACAAAUAUCGAGCUAUCAUAAUGGAAAGGGUGAAAUGGAGAAGCUAGUGAUUUCAGAAGGUUAGAAGAACCUGAACGAAGAUGACAGUGCUACACCAAGACCCAAGGGUUCAGAAGGUGAUUGUGCUUCACUGCAUGUUGAAAAUGACACAGCUGAAUCAGUGCCCAAUGUUGAAGAUGACAACACUGAAGUGCAGGUUAAUGUUGAUGGAACAACUGAAGAUAGCUCUGGACUUAUGAUUGCUGCUGAAGAUCUGCAAACAUUCCAUAUCACUGUUGGUAAUUGUGAACAGAUGAUGGCAAAGAAUAGAUGCUGAGUUAAAAGAAGUGGAGUCCAGGGUGGGCGAUUUCGAGAACAGAUACAAAAAGGUCACGAUACUUUACUUUCAUCAAGAGCCUUGAUUUUACCCAAAGAUUUGAAAGAUCCAUCUACCUUGUUUUCACACCAUCAAGUCUUUAACAUUAUGAACUUAAAUCCAACUUACCUGAGCUCAUUUGACAUCAUGCAAUAUGAUGAUGGUGCAAGACCUGAAAAAGAGUUGGAAUUUUUCUUGAAACAUUUGGUUGACAAGAGGGUUUGUAUUGUUGAAGAUAUUGAUAACACAAUCUCUACUGUGGAGACACUAAUGUAUGACCACGGCAUCAAAGGGACGGAAGAUGGCACAGAUGAUGAAAUCUAUAAAGGUGAAUGUGAUGCCUCUUUUGAAGGCACCACAGCUAGGCUCUCAUUUAUUCUCUGGAAGGGCAACGAGAUCAUCCACACAGAGGUCUACUCAGAAUUCAAAUGCAAAUCAGCAACCGAGGCUAAAGCUUACGCUGCUUUUGCCCUACUCUUAAAAGCACGCGAAAUGAAGAUAUUAAAGCUACUUUUAUGCUCUGAUUCCAAGACUGUAUGUCAGAUUCUGAGUGGCGAACUAAGCUAUGACAGGGAAACAUUUGAUCUCGUUAAACUUUCGCUGAUGCUUAGAUCAAUGAGAAAACACUUUGAUAAGGUUAUAGUGAUGUGGAAGCCUCGGCAGCUUAUGAUCUUUGCUGAUGAUCUUUCUAAAGCUAGUGACAGACCAAUUGCAUCCCCAACGUUCCAAGAUCUCACUUUGAAAAGGUGGUCGCACCAUUUACAAGGGCUGCCUGUUUUUAGAAUUGAGCGCACGACUGCUACACAAAACACGGUUAAAAAAUUUGAUAUGGCUUGUUGUAUAUUUUAUCUUUAUUAUUUGGGUUAUUUUUCUAUUCAAUUAUUGUUCUUAACAGUUUGUAUUUUCUGCUGCAACUAAUCUCAAAGUUGACGAAUCAUAUGGAAAAAAAUGAGAAGACAAUCUUUUUUGUUGAAGCAGAAGAACAAUCUAAGAUAGACUAUUUAGUAGGUCUUCAAUAGGCGUUUAAGCCCAUUGACUUGGAAGUAUGUGUCUCUGACUUUUGUGAUAAAGCAGAUGACUUCAAAAGAGAGUUACAAAGAAUUUGUGGACCUUCUUAUUUUAAGUGUGAAAGAUACAGUUUUUUUCAAGAGUUCUACUCUCGGAGGAAUAUGUGGUUUGUCCUUUGAGGGUAAGAGGCCUUUGAUGGUGGUUUUUGAUGCUUCCAUUCCAAAAUAAGUAUAUUAUAUGGAUUCCGCGUACCAUGUUAUCUUGGCAACACCUGAGGAACGGGAAGGUCUAGAGAAAAAGAAGAUUGAAGAAUUGAAUGCCCUAACAUUUAUGUAUUAUAAUGGAGUGAGAUUUGCUUUGAAUGACGAACAAAAAGGUGUGGGAGGGCAAAAUGUGAGAGGUGAGUAAUUGUGCAUUGUACUUUCUGGAUAUGAGUUGGGUUUUAUCUUGCAGUAAAUGUUAUCUGAUUCACAUUAGUACUAAUUUCUCUAGCAUAUUACUUCAAAUAGUUGGAACAUUCUUGUUCUCAUUUUAAGUUUGUUGAAGUGCUGAGAAUUCGGUGCUACAAAUAUUAUAUCGAAGUGUUGUACAUUCUUUUAAUGCCUUUUUCUGGAGUCAUGGAUAUGUUGAUUCUGAUUGCUAAUUUCUAGUUGCUGAUGUAGUUGCUUAUGCAGCAGUGCAUCUUAAGUUUUCUUUGCUAUUGAUAUUGAGACUGGUGUUUUUAGUAUGUAUGAACUGACAAUCUUUUUCUAUUGAGUGAUUAAUUGCUGGAGUUGCAUGUUUUUAGUAGAAUCUGAUGUCUAAUUUCUAGUUGCUUGUGUGCCAAAGUUUCUUAUAGCGGUGCAGCUUAAGUUCUCUUUACUAUUGCAUUUUUUUGUAGACUGGACAUGUUUUUCAGUAUUGAUAACUGACAAUCUUGUUCUAUUGAGGCUAGUAAGCAUUUUUUUUUUGUCAUCUAUGAACUCACCAUCAUUCUCCACAGUAGAUGUGUUGCUAUAAAGUAUCCCAAAUUAUUUUCCUAUGAAGAUUAUGCUAUUCCUGUUCCACAACUGCUAUUGAGGCUGACAUGUGUUUUGAGUUACUAUGAACUGAUUCAAGUAAUUGUCUUGCAGUAAACUAUUGGUGCACCGCAAGUAAUCUCCUCUUUUUUUUGCCUUGUGCCUUAGCAGAAUCAUUUCUUACCAUCAUGUUCUAAUUAUGUUUGUGAUAGAAAAAUCAUUAUACUAUGCAUUCUGGAAUCCAUUUAUGUACCGCCUUUUGCUUAUUUGAUUUACUCUUUUUUGCCCAUAUGAGUGAGAUUGUUUAUUUUUGCUGUGACCAAUGCAGACUGAGAACAUUUUGUCUUUGGAGAGGAAACUCUGAAUUUUAUCUACAAUGUCCUAGAAAGCUUGCUUUCUGAGGCAUUUAAGUUUUGAUUCUGGGGCUAAGACAACACCAUCUUUAGGUAUUUCAUUUAGGGAUACAGUUCUCUAGAGUGGUUUUUGGUGCAUGUGGCCACUAAUCCAGUGUCAGAUUUUCAGUUGGUAUACUGCUUAAACUAAAACUAGAGCAUUUACUCUCUAGAUUAGUUUGUCACCUGAAUUCUGCUUCCGAAUUUCAAACCAUCCAGUGGUGUUGAAGACAGCGAUCUCUUGCUGAGCUCAGUUAGUGUAAUGGCCACACAAGGUCACCUAUGUUUAAAUUGAUAUGUUCAGUCUAACAGUUUAAACCCGUGGAAUUCAAAUGGGUGGGCGACUUUGCAA